rnacentral:lncRNA from 1 species
UAUAAGCCGCUUAAGUAUAGUUUUGCACAAUAAGGCAUUUCAUUUGGUUUUUAAUCUGCAUCAAAAUGACACAAUAAAAUGAUUACUGCUUCCUAGCUGGUUCUAGCCAAGGUUUUAUUCUUCAUUCUUAACCUUUCUUGUCUCUCACAGUCCCAGGAAAUUAAGGAUAAAAUGCAUAUUCACAGUGUUUAUGUUACCAAUGUAAACACAGGGAAGUCAGAAAAUAUUUUAGUAACGUCCUCACAGUCAUUAUAAUUCAUCUAUGCUGGUCUCAGGCAAAACCCUAUCUUCUUGUCCUGUUUUCUAACUAUGUCAUUUACUGAGGAAUGGCUAGCUCUGGGUCCAUCCCUGUGCGCUAAGGGAAGCUUCAUUUUUACUUUUGUGGACUCACAUUUGUCACCCAAAUAAACUACUGAAUUGUUGUUUACUUAUACUCACAGGGAUGAUUUCAUUUUCUUACUAUAGUUCCUGGGAACACAUAUCAAGAGAGCUAAUCGAGAGUUCCCGUCAUGGCUCAGCGCAAACAGAUCUGACUGGCAUCCAUGAGGAUGCAGGUUCGAUCCCAGGCCUCACUCACUCCAAUUCGANGGCAUUACCGUGAGCUAUGGUGUAGGUUGCAGGUGAGGCUUGGAUCCCAUGUUCCCGUGGCUGUGGUGUAGGCUGGCGGCUACAGCUCAGAUUCGACCCCUAGCCUGGGAACCUCCAUAUGCCACAGGGGUGGCCCUAAAAAGACAAAAGACCAAAUAAAUAAAUAAAUAAAUAAAUAAAAAGAUAGCUGAUCGAAUUAAGUGUUCAUAAUCUACUCUGCCUCUGCAAAGCCAUGAUCUUUUUCCUCUUUUACUCUCUGAAACAUACCAAAGGUGACCUGAAGCAUGAGUGAAUUUAAAUUCCAUAUGAAUUGCACCAGCAUUUGUAUUUUGCCUUCACAUUCCAGGAUACCUUCUUUGACCACCUCUUUUAUAGGGGCUAAAGAAACUAUUGCAUUUGGAGUGGAUAAGCACUGAGAUCCUGCUGUGUAGCACAGGGAACUCUAUCUAGUCACUUGUGAUGCAACAUGAUGGAGGAUAAUGUGAGAAAAAGAAUAUAUAUGUGUGUGUGUGUGUAUGUGCGUGUGAAUGACUGGGUCACUUUGGUGUAGAGCAGAAAUGGACAGCAUAUUGUAAAUCAGCUAUAAUAGAAAAAAAUUAAAAUCUUUUAAAAAAAGUGCAUGUACCAAGCUAAGUAGCUUGCAGAGCGCCCUCUAGCGAAAGGUCAGGGAUGCCAUCCUAGGACCGGGUUCUAGCAGGAUUUGUUAAAGGCAAACAACCUUCUCUUCUGAACCCUGCACAACCCAUUUGAAGGAUUGAACUCCCAACGCAACAGAUUUCUUGACAUCAAAUCACAGCUGCCUGGUUGUAUUGCUGACACUCUAUUAAAAUUCCAAAUCAGCUUAUUAGCGUUUGCGUUUCUUCAGUGAAUAAAAACAAGAAUCCUAACAGAACUCUCUAAGUCAGUAACAAAGCUGGAAACCAUCAAGAUGAUAAGGCACUAAAACCUGGAGAAUUCAUCUUUAAAUUGCUAUCAAAGGAAAGCAAAUCCCCAAAUGCGGAGGUCAUUCAAUGUAGCAACAACCUCUCUCCUAAUAAAAACCAAAACGACAAAGCGCGCGGAGGUUGACCAAGACAAAGAAGCAGAGUUAUGUCUGUGAAAGGCUUUUCAUCCAAGUGGCCAGGUUCACUGGACAAUCCUUAGCCUUGUGAGAAAGUCAGGUAAUUUUAACGUCUCACCCCAUAUGUGCCUAUUUACACAAAAGACUUGAAACAGCUUAAAACAAGAUUUAUGGUAAGAGGAUCUAUCAAGAAAAAGAAUUUUUCUAGAAGGAUUUAAAGUUAGAAAAAAAAAAUAGAUUCUCCCCAAUGUCCUCAGGAGGGCCUAUGGGCUGCUUGAGAGCUGCACUGUCAAUAGAAAUAUGGCUACAAGAGGUAUCUGCCAAGAACAAGACACAGAGUGCAAACCCCCAGGAUCACUGACGGUGAUGCCCUGGGCACUUCUGAGGUCCCUCAGGAGAGGAAGCCCCACAGACGGUGAAAGAGCACUAUUGUCUUAAUAGCGGCACAGUCAACUCCCCUGGACCAAGAACGCUUCCCACAUUUUCAAGAUCAAGCAAGUCCCUGGAGCUCCCGAACAAUCCAGAGUAGUGCCAUCCUAAGAUUAAUAUAUUUUUCUUUCAACCCUAAAGAAUGGAGACUACCAGUGUGUUCUUAAUUUUUUUUAGGUGAGACAUAUAAUGUUUUUACACCAAUAUUAUGGUUCAUGUCUGUUUCAAUAGUAAACUAUAAACAGACCUAGGAAACUCAACUCAAAUAAAAAGCGAGCUCAGUAUGCCAAGCCUCGUGGUCAGCAUGGCUGUCUUUGGCUCUGUGCUAUGUUGUGAUGUGCAGGCUGCACUGAAGGGUAAGGAGGAUUUCUUUUAAAAGGGAAAGUUCCAAAGCAGAUUUAUUAUUAUGACUUAGCUUGAGCUUUCUGAAGAAAACGUAACUGGUUUUAAGAAAACAUUGAAUGUAGCUUUCAAAUUCCCGGAAUGAAUCUACACAUAUAUCAGGAGAAUGUCUAAUGCCAAUUACGAAGAUCAUAUUCCUUCUUGACCCUUCAGCUGGGAGCCAAGGUCAAGUAGGUACUUUUAAUUUCCCAGCUCCUCCAAAUGGAUGACCACUCCCUCUUUCUUAUUACUGAACCCUAGCCCAGGCUUGAGUCAUUUCAUCAGUUACCAAAAGGAAAACAUUGGACUCUGAUCCUGCAAAGCAAAUCAUUCUUUGAGUUUAUAGAGGGUAGGAAUUUCCACAGGAAAUCCCACAUCUCAUACGCUCCCUGGGUGGACCCGGACGUGGGGAGCAAUGUGUUUCUGUACCACGUUUCCUACAGACCAACAAAAGUCAGAUUCCUCGAAGUAAGAUUUCUUGAUUCCUCUCAUAUCUAUGAAGUACAGCCAUUGCCUGCAUUCCAUUGUCAAAGGAUUAAGUGUGUUCAGAAAAAGUGCUUUCCUGGUCAGACCACCUCUGUAGCACUGCACUGCCUCUAGUCUUAGAGACCACAAUUUAAGAGGAGAUAUUGAGUGACUGGAGGAUGUCCAAGGAAUAUAAUCAAGAUUCUCAAAGUAAUGUUAAGCUUCAAAUGAUUGAAAAAGAACUGGAGAUGUCUAGCUUAGAAAAAGACAGACGGCCUUGUACUACUCUCACUGCACUGUUAUAGAAAAAGGCUUGUUUUUUGUUGGAUGGAAGAGGCAAGCAGAUUGCAGUUCCAUAUAAGAAAGUACUUUCUUAUAAAUAGAAUAUACUGCCUUGUCAGAGAUAGGGGCCCCUCCCUGAGAGAAUGCCCAUCCACCAUCUGUUAGUAAUACUUUAGAAGAUGAUUUCACACUCACUAAGAGGUCAGACUCCUAACCUCAGAGGUAGCUUGAAAUUUCAGCUUCCUAAUAGUCUACAUAUUUGGUUAAUUCUUUAAAAAAAAAUUUUUGCAUGAGAAUUCUGAAUCAUUUCCGGAGUCAAUAAUUCCUUCUAAAGCAGGUCAAUCUGACAAAAAACACUUGAUGUGAUGCCAGUAAAUCAAUGACAGCCUACUGAUUCCCAUAACCUCACAGAGGGGGUAGUAGGUAAAACCGAGAAAGCAUAGACUUCAAUGUUUGACCUGCGUUCACAUCCCUGCUCCCCCGUUUAUAGCCUGUUGUGACCUAGGCAAGUCCCUUCACCUCACUAAGCUUUAAUUUCCUCAUCUGUAACAUGGAAUGCUGCUAUUUAGCUCCAAGAUUGUCGUAAGAAGGAAAUGAGAUCAUGAAUAAAAGGAGAAGAGCAAGGUCCCCGACUCAAAGAAACUCUUCAAUAGAGGGCAGGUGUUAUUAUUAGACAAGGCAUAGCCCUGGGAUGACCCUACCCCCCAAGGACCACACCGAAGACCUUCCCUGCACAUCCUAGACAUCCCAUGUAGAGGAAGGUGAGUGGGGAGAGAGAAGGACAAAAGCGGUGUGUGCAUCAGCCACAUUUAAAGAAAUACAUCUGGACAAACAGGGAUCUGUUUCUAGAAAAUGUAUUUUAGCUCUAACUGUGGAUUCCCACGCAGGCAUAAGAACUAAUACAGAGACAUCUCACAGAGUCUUUACACAUGGCAUAUCUUUUUAUGUACUGUUACUUCCUAUGGUGUUAGGCAUCAUUGUCAGAUUUUUUUUCCCCCUUGAUCAAUGUACUGAUGCAAAACGUGGAAAUAAAAAUUAAAAACAAAAUAAAACAAUGAGAACCUGGGAGAGCUCCCUCCACUGGGGCCCAUGCAGUCACUCUUCCCCCCAAUUUGUCUUGACCCAUUUCACCCCCUGCUGAGACUCCCUUUCUAGAAAAGAUGUGCCCAAGGCUUUGUGAAAAAGCCAAGUCCUUGUUCUAGGAGGCUGAACUUCUUGAGUUCUUGGAAAACGGUGGUGUGCAGGCUCAUUGAACAAUGGACAUACUUCGUGUUGAACACGGUAAUAUUCCAACUUCUAUUGAUUAAUCAGUUCCUACUCCAGUGCUAAGGUCAGGCAGUAUGCUUUCUUUCCUCCCCAAACAAUUAAUUAAUCUGUAUUGACUGAGCUCCGGGGAAAAUAUAUCCUAGGAUAUAUCUGAGUUCGGUUUCAAUGCAGUCAGAGGCUUUCACGUGGAAAAUUCUCUGUUUAGCAGUUACAUGCAGUGAGAAAACUCAGAAUUCAUAAGUGAUUCGGUAACUCACAAGCCAUGAAGAGCACAGUAAAGGUCAAAGCAGGAUAACCUGGGCAGGAUUCAUCCCAUACUUGUCCCACAUUCAUCUUAAGCCAUGCCCAUGGCAUCCAGAAGUCCCUGGGCCAGGGGUCGAACCCACACCACAGAAGCGACAAUGCCAGCACCUUAACCCACUGAGCCACCAGGGAACUCCAGUUGCUUUUUCGAAAUUAGUUUUUACAAUGAGAAUGAGGAAGUCCAGUUUUUCAAAUUAUUUCAUGGAAAUCAUCUAGAGCUAUAACUACGUCAAUUUCAUGGAAGACUACGGCUCUAAUUCAUCACAAAUUUGAAAAUAGGGGGGAAAAUGCUAUACCCCACUGCCAGAAUAAUUCAUUGUGGUUAAAAAAAAAAAAUCUCACCAGUGCCAACAUCUUCUAGCUUAUUGGGCAGGUGGUGAAGGUGGGUAACCAAGGGGGUGUUUGCCCAGAUCCAUGUACAUAGUGAUGAAACCAAGAACUCCCCCACCCCAGGGGUGACAAAUAGUCUUCAUCGCUACAAACCCCACCCCAAAUGCGGUCAUUCCCUGCUUAUCAGAACUUUCCCUCUAAAGAUAAUAUAAGGUUGAGAGUCAAAGCUCUGGUACCAGGAACACCCACACAUUUUUUUAAAUUAAGAGCUCCUUUAAAUAUGGAGCUAUUAUUACACACUGUACCAAUAAAAUUAAACAUUGUCACUGUCUGUUCCUUAAUAGCUUACAAGCAUUUUAUAUUCAGAGUCCCCAAGCUAGAGUUUGAAGAACUAUCCCUUUAGUCUUUGACUGUGAAAUAAUCUCCAUACCAUUUUUCUUACUCCCUCUUCACAAACUAUUUAUAACCAUGCUUAGACGCACAAUGAACAUAAACGGUGCAUCAACAUAAAAGAGCAUUAAGGACAAGCAAAAAGGUGAGCCUGUAUCAUGCCUUGCUGAAUAAAGGUGUCUUCCCAACAGCCUAGGAAAGACGGAGCCCAGAGGGAGCUAGCCAGGGCGUUCAGGGAACGGCCCGUGGGAAAGAGUGUUCCCUCAGGGAAGAGGGUGCAUUUUAAAAUAUGAAGCAUCAGCUAGAGAAGAGAGGAUACAGUGGAACGAUGAGAAGGGAGCAUCUUCUUCAUGUACCAAAGGCCCGAGUCUCCACUGAACAACAGGCUGGAGGGUAAUGGGCGACAACAGCAGAGGUUCUCAAAGAGUGUUCCCCAGAACCAGGAGCAUCAGCAUCGCCGGGGAACCCGUUAGAAAUGCAAAUGCCCAGGCCCCGCUCCGGAUCUGCUGAAUCGGAAGCUCUGGAUUGGGGGCAAAGCUGGUUGUGUUUAACAAGCUCUCCAGGGGAUUCUGACCCCCCUGCUCCAGUCUGAGAACAAGAAAGGAAAACAUGGCCAGAUAUUUCCUCCAUUCUCUUACACGCUUCCCUGACACAGACACAAAUGUGUGCAUGUGCACACACACCUAUGCAGCUGGGAACACCUGCACAGUGUUCAAAGAACAGGAAACCAGCCCUUAUUGUCCCUUUUCUUGGAGCGUUUCUUUCUGUGUGCAUUCUGAAGCAGGGACCGAAUUUCCCCCCCUCCCCAAUUAACGAGAACGAGGUUGGCAGCAUGUUUGUAUCACAUUAUAUACUCUGUGUGUUUACCCUGUACUGCCUUUGAUGCAUUUGCAUAUAAUCUUUCAUAAUUCAAUUCAUUUGUUCAAAUCAUGUCUUUUCACUUGCUUAUUCAGAUGGGAGAGUUCAUUUUACAGAUCACUGGGGCCUCCCAGUGGCAAUCGUUGGUCAUUUCAGGCUCAGAUUUAAUUUCCGGAAGCUUGGAGGGAAGGGUAUCCGGUGGUGCUUAGCUUUUCACCCACUUGGUAGAAGCAAAAGAUGGAAUCACAGCACGCUUUUUAUCUGACGCAGGUUGACUGGGCAGUCGAGCUGACGUUUCCGCAGAUGCUGGCUUGGACUUCAUGCAUCGAUCAGACUCCAGGUUCAGGUCCUUGCUGAGUGGCGAUGUCAGGCAGCCGGCUUCCGGCUUCCGUUUCUGCAGAUCCGUGUCAACCUCAACCAGGACUCUGUGCCACGAGACCCUCACGGAGAAGCUCCUCCUGCGAGUCCUCCUUCUCCAUAACCCUGAGGUUUUUCUCCCUUGAGUGUCCCCUCCCGCCAUCCUGCCUUUGAAGUUGUGACGGCCCCGGGGUUGCCACGUCCUGCGGGGAGUUGGGAUACAUGGAUUCCCCCUCCUCCGGAUUCUGGAACAUUCCGUGUUCUGGCUCUUGUCU